CAAUCACAAUCUUUGGUUUGUUUAGAAAGUGCCCCAUCAGUCUUCGAAAAUCCAAUCAAGAAACAGGUGUUGCUGUUUGCAACUUCAAAUGAUUCAGAGAAGUUAAUCUCAGUAUUUCAAGAAGCAGCAAAACCUUUUAAGGAAAAAGGAAGUGUGCAGAGUGUGAUACUUCUCUUCUUGACAUCCAUUAGUCAACACAUCUAGUUUGUGAUAUCUUCUUAGUAAGGUACCUUAAACUCAAUUAUAUUUAUGUAGUUUAUUUAUCUAGUUGAAGAAAUGAGAUGAAUUUUAUUUAUGUAGUUGAUGAAAUAAGAUGACUUAUAUUUGGAUCUUCUACCUACUUA